GUGAACGCUGGCGGUAGGCCUAACACAUGCAAGUCGAACGGCAGCACAGUAAGAGCUUGCUCUUACGGGUGGCGAGUGGCGGACGGGUGAGGAAUACAUCGGAAUCUACUUUUUCGUGGGGGAUAACGUAGGGAAACUUACGCUAAUACCGCAUACGACCUACGGGUGAAAGCAGGGGAUCUUCGGACCUUGCGCGAUUGAAUGAGCCGAUGUCGGAUUAGCUAGUUGGCGGGGUAAAGGCCCACCAAGGCGACGAUCCGUAGCUGGUCUGAGAGGAUGAUCAGCCACACUGGAACUGAGACACGGUCCAGACUCCUACGGGAGGCAGCAGUGGGGAAUAUUGGACAAUGGGCGCAAGCCUGAUCCAGCCAUACCGCGUGGGUGAAGAAGGCCUUCGGGUUGUAAAGCCCUUUUGUUGGGAAAGAAAAGCAGCAGGUUAAUACCCCGCUGUUCGGACGGUACCCAAAGAAUAAGCACCGGCUAACUUCGU
rnacentral:rRNA from 1 species